rnacentral:rRNA from 1 species
GACGAACGCUGGCGGCGCGCCUAACACAUGCAAGUCGAACGGAGCUGAGAGAAGCUUGCUUUUCUUAGCUUAGUGGCGAACGGGUGAGUAACGCGUGAGUAACCUGCCCUGGAGUGGGGGACAACAGUUGGAAACGACUGCUAAUACCGCAUAAGCCCACGAUCCGGCAUCGGAUUGAGGGAAAAGGAUUUAUUCGCUUCAGGAUGGACUCGCGUCCAAUUAGCUAGUUGGUGAGGUAACGGCCCACCAAGGCGACGAUUGGUAGCCGGACUGAGAGGUUGACCCGCCACAUUGGGACUGCGACACGGCCCAGACUCCUACGGGAGGCAGCAGUGGGGGAUAUUGCACAAUGGGGGAAACCCUGAUGCAGCGACGCCGCGUGGAGGAAGAAGGUUUUCGGAUUGUAAACUCCUGUCGUUAGGGACGAUAAUGACGGUACCUAACAAGAAAGCACCGGCUAACUACGUG